AAGGCUGUAGUACCUCAUGUUUCGCCCAUCGAGAGGGCUAUGAUUAAUAUUCUACGUGGACAAAGCUUUAUGGAUGAAGAGUGCAAAAGGAUAACCGCGGCUGCAAUGAUUUUGUCUGAGGGCUUGGAAACUGAGACACGUUCCUAGUUACAGAAAGGAGAAAUUCACAAAGCCAAAAUAGCGCAAGAUUCAAGAAUUGCCGAGUAUGAACAGGAAAUAUCUUAUAAGCAA